GUCAGAAGACCACGACGCUUGUUUUGAAUCUCUCGUCGUAGCCGUUUUAAGGCUUCACAGUAAGCUGCAGCUGUAAUGGUCGUACCACGCUCCAUAAAUUCAACGAGCAAGAUGCCCUUAGCAUCCCAAAAAAUUGUAGCCAUCAAUUUUCUUGCUGAAAAAGAUUGGUGAGCUUUCUUUGGCUUGCUUGGCGAAGUAGUAUGACCCCAUUGCAUUGACUAUUGUUUUGUUUCGGCAUUCACAUAGGCUACCCAAGUCUCAUCUCCUGUAACGAUCCUGUUCAAAAAUGUUUCUCCUUCAAAGUCAUACCGAGUAAGAAAGUCUAUGGCAGAACUCAUUCUUUUCAUUUUGUGAUCAUCGGUGAGCACUUUUGGAAUCCAACGAGCACAAAACUUGUGAUAGCCUAGUUUUUCUGUUACUAUCUCAUGCACAAGACUUAGAGAAAUUUCAGGAAAAUGAUCUGAAAGUUCCGAGAUUGUGAAGCGACGGUUCUCGCGAAUUUUCUCAUCCAAUUUGUUCACUAAGUCAUCACUGACGAGAGAUGGCCUACCACUCCGGUCUUCAUCGUGAACGUGCGUUCUUCCAUUUUUU